rnacentral:rRNA from 1 species
UACAGAGGUCUCAAGCGUUGUUCGGAUUCAUUGGGCGUAAAGGGUGCGUAGGCGGCGCGGUAAGUCGGGUGUGAAAUCUCGGAGCUUAACUCCGAAACUGCAUUCGAUACUGCCGUGCUUGAGGACUGGAGAGGAGACUGGAAUUUACGGUGAAGCGGUGAAAUGCGUAGAUAUCGUAAGGAAGACCAGUGGCGAAGGCGGGUCUCUGGACAGUUCCUGACGCUGAGGCACGAAGGUCAGGGGAGCAAACGGG